AGCAAUAUGAAAAGAACAAUGCAGUUCAAAAGUCAAAAUGUGGAUAAGCUGCAGUACAAGGUCCUACUUUUGCAGAUUUUCAUAUUUUGCAUGAAUGAAUUUGAAGUUUAUAUCAUGAAGGGCAGAGAAAGAAAAGAAACACUUCAAUUUUCCUGCUUCUGAAAGAUCUUGUUCGAAGGAUUGAAAUUCAUCACUUAGAAUAAAAAGAGAAAACACAGAAACAAGACCAAAAUAAAUUCAAAGACAAAAGUCAGAUCAGUUAUUAUUUUCAUCACUCAGUCAAUGAAUUGAAGUUCUAUUAAAUAUCUAAAGAUAUUAAAACCACAAUAAUGACUAUGUUCUGUGCUGAAUGGCCAAAAAGUGGACUAUACAUUACGAUCACACAAUGCUGGAUGAUAAGAAACUAUUAAUUUUUUGGGUGGAGGGAUAUCCUGAAAAAAAAUUGAUUUAUGUAAAAAGCUACUAGUAUGUUAAGCCUAUUAAUAGAGUUUUCAUUGAUUUCAAAUGGGAAAAAUUGUGUUUCAAAAAAGUAUUCUAGAAUUCAUAAAUAAACAUAUAUUGAUACUUACAUUA